rnacentral:rRNA from 1 species
AAUAUUAGUCAAUGCUCGCAAGAGUGAACUAGCUAACUGAAAUCACAGGAUCCACUACGUGUGGUGAAUGUUAUAACGUAAGGGAAAAAAAUGAUAUUACCUUACUAUUAGUGUUGUCCAAAACUGGUGCCAGAAGACUCGGUAAGGCCAGAGACGCAAACGUUAGUCGUCCUAAUCAGGCGUAAAGGGUAUGUAGGCUGCUUUAAAAGUUAGUAUAAUAUUUUAAUAGCUCUAUUUAUUUAGAAUUAGUGAAUUAUCGCUAUAAAACUAAAUAAAUAGUAAAAUAUACAAUGAAUUAAAGCUAGGAUCAAAUUGAGGAUAAUUUAAAUAAUACUUAGUGUAGGGUUUACAUCUGGUGAUACUAAGGGGAGUACUAACGGUGAAAGCUUUUUAUCUAGAAAUGAUUGACGCUGAGAAACGAAGGUGAGAAUAGGAAAUAGGAUUAGAUACCCAGAUACCUCUCACAGUCAACGAUGAAUGGUGGUUGUUAGUUAGUUUUAUUUAACUGAUAACGAUGUUAACACGAUAACCAUUCCGCCUUGCGAGUACGGUUGCAAAACUGAAACCAAAAAAAUUAGUCGGUCUCGAAGCAAACGAAGUGAAGCAUGUUAUUUAAUU